GUAUUAUAGAAUUAGAUGCUAAGUUCAAUAUAAUACAAAUUAUAUUUCCAUCCAUGUAAAAAAGAAGAGACAAUUUGUGACGGUUGCGGGUUCUCCUCGUUCUCGUCCUCGUCCUCGACACGUUUAAUCAGCGCUAGACGGCGCCACAACUAAGGCUGCUCAUCGGCUAGCACAGUAAGAAGCAGACGAAAUUAUCGAGACAUAACUGUUCUAAGAAUUCUCGAUCUCUCCCUCUCGCUCCAUCUAGCUUUCUUUCAGCAGGUUAACAAAUAGUCGCGCGCUAGGUUUCAAUUGUACAUGCCUUCGAGCAAUCAGUGUUGUCCGUUUCUAUGUGCGAUUAUGUAAGCAUCACAGACUUUGUUGUAUGCGCUGUGUUGUUUCAUACUUGACAAUUUGCCUUGUGACAUUAAACUAAGCUGGCCAACGAAAUGUUCAUUGCAUUAAUUUAACUUUUACCUACCUAAAGGCAGUAGGUUCGAGAGCAGGCCUGGCGCGUACAGCGAUGUCAUACCUAGCUCGACGCACUACACUCAUACCUUUAUUUUGGUGAUCCCGUGAAAAAUCAAAAUCGUCAAGAAAAGUGCACGAGUCGUUUCUCUAAAAAAUCCUCAAGAAAGAAGUGCUGAAAAUUUUCCAAAGCGUGCAUAACGAACUUACGUAAUCGCUAACGACUUCCUACCGAAAUUUCUUGAUCGUGAGCAUAAAAUGCGCGAAUAACCUUUGAUGUACGAGAUUGAGAUUUCGUGGAACCUGUCGAAGGACGCCACACAUCACGACUCCGAAAGCUUCCAUUCAGUUCAGCGCAGCCAGAAAUAGUUGCGUCAGAAACUAGCUUGCCAGCCUGGGAUCAAUCCAGCGACCUCGAUGCAACGAUCAGAACUCCGGAGGAGCAGCCAGCGCAACACAACAAAUCCAGCCUCCCGCGCUUACAGCUCCACAGCCUAUUGUCCGCAGACUCGCUAACGAAACCAUGGACAUGACGAACGGCACACCGAAAGGACAGGUCGUUACCAUCAACCUCUUGGAAACUUGUCCCGUUCUGGGUAGAGGAGCUCGAACUUUGGUUCGCAAAGACGGAAUUCGCCUUCCGGGUAAACCGCGUUUUCUCCGAUAAGUUCAAGUACCAUCUCAUCAUUGCUGCUCUGGACAAUGCUAUUCUGAGGGAAGUUGGCGCCAUAAGUUCCCGGAUGAGAGCACACAGAAACGGCGUUUGCUAUUAUCGCAAUCGGUUCGGAACAGCAGCCAACCGAUGCAACUUGCCGUGUGCCUUCACUGGCCAACAGCAGUAGCUGUCAAGAAACCUCUGGGAAGAUCCGGGCAGAAAAUCCGGGAAGAUUUUCAGGACGCUUUGUACAUUGCGCGGGAGCAUACCAAUCCACUUAGUCCCCAUGAGGUCUUCCGAGGCGUUGUCUCCGGCAAGCGCCACAAUUUGUCUACAGAGCUAGUUCGGACCUAAUGAUCUCGCCCAUGUAAGCACGGGAGGUUGGAUUUGUUGUAGCGCUGGCUGCUCCUCCGGAGUUCUGAUCGUUGCGUCGAGGUCGCUGGAUUGAUCCCAGGCUGGCAAGCUAGUUUCUGACGCAACUAUUUAUGGCUGCGCUAAACUGAAUGGUACCUUUCGGAGUCGUGAUGUGUAGCGUCCUUCGACAGAUUCCACCAAAUCUCGUACAUCAAGGGUUAUUCGCGCAUUUUAUGCUCACGAUCAAGAAAUUUCGGUAGGAAGUUUGAUUGCCAUAAGGCAAGUAUCAUUGAAAGCUAACGCGUGCGACUAGUUCAGCUAGCGGGCUCAUCAGUAAGCUGAUUUAGUUGUGGUGCCGUCUAGCCCUGGCUCAACGCAUCGAGGAGCAACCAUCGCAUAUAGGUAUUAAAAUCGUAGUGAUAGGGGCUCCAAGAAGAAGACCAUCGAAGAUAUGUAUAAGAAGAAGACCCAACUGAGGCAUAUUUUGCUCAGACCUGAUACGUACAUUGGCUCAGUGGAGUCAGUUCAAGAGAACAUAUGGAUUUAUGACAAGAAAAAAGAAAUGAUGAAGAAAGUUGAUAUUGAUGUUGAAAAUAAUACAAUUGCUGUUAACAAGAAUGAAAAGAACAUUCCUGUUGUUGUUUACAAAGAAGAGAAAAUGUAUGCGUCAACCUUUGGUCAUCUACUGACAUCAUCUACUUACAAUGAUGCCGAGGAAAAAAAGACUGGUGGUAGAAAUAGUUACGGUGCUAAAUUGUGUAAUAUCUUCAGUAAAGUGUGUAAUAUCUACCGCUUCACUGUUGAGACUGCUUGUAAGGAGUAUAAUGGGUCAAGCUAACGAGUUUAGCAUUUAAGAAUUUCAUGAUAUAGAUUUUACCAGGUAUAAGGACUUCUGUAAGAGGAGUUAAAUUGUAUUCAAAUGAUACAAAGAUACUAAUUAAAAAUUGUUAAGACUGUAUAGAUCUAUACGUCAAGGGCGGCUAGGCAGAUGAUGCAGGUAAUCUUUUGAAAGUUCACUUUGAAAGUCACAUUCUAAGAUGGGAAGUUGCAGUCACUCUAUCAAAUAAAAGAUACCAGCAAAUGUCAUUUUUUCAAUAAUAUAGCUACUAAAGAUAAGACGGAAGCAAAAAAUGGCGGGGGUAAUAUAGCAUCUAAAAGAAUGCCCAAAAAGAAAGCACCUAAAUCUUCAGAAUCGGAAUCUGAAGAUAUGUUCUCACCUAAGACAACAUCCGUCAAGAAGACGGCAAAUAGUACAUUACGAUGCAAGUGCGGGAGAGAAGAUUUUUAUCUCGCAGUCACAGAAGAUCAGAAUCUCUUUUACCAACACGUAUCGUACACAGCGUGCAAAGUGCGAUUUUGAGGCUCCGUUUUUAGUCGAGAACGAGGAAAAGUCUGUUUGUGUAUGGAAUGUUAGAAAAAAGGAUGGGUUGACUCUGACAACAACGAUGUGAAGAUAGCAUUAUCGCCAUUGCUACUACUACGAACGAUUCCGAUUCUGAUUAAAUUUUAUAGAUGUUACUUGAGCUAAUAGCACACUGACACCAAUGAAUAACGUUAUGGUAUGGUAAUGAUACUCACCUGUGUAUGCCAGACUCACUCGUAACUUUCUAUGCUAGUUCUUGAAUAUAACGUGUUUGUGUACAACAGUAGAGAAUCGAAUUGCGCACUUUUUUGCCGAUGCAUCGCAAAAUUUAUUACUUUCUCUUUGGUUGUAUUUUAAAAUAAACAGCUUGAUUCUUUAUAAUUUAAUAUUGAUAAUUGUAAGAUGUUUCAAGUGUCACUGUCAAAUAUAACUAUAGGCACUAAAUGUCGAUGACCAAUGGCUAAUUAAUAUGACGGAUUUUACGUACGCGUUUUUGGCGAUUUUUUUUGUAUAAAAUGAUCAUGAAGUUAGUGCAAAACAACUUGGUUAUCAUAUCAAUAAUUUUUUUACUUUUUAUAAAUUAGCUUUUGUCAAUGUAAUUUUCGGUAAAUUCUUAAAGUGAGAUAAAGUACAAUCGAAUAGUCAUAGCUAAAAUAACUUCCUAUUUAUACAUUUGUAUUUGUUCAUUUUUGUCAAAAAAUAUUAAAAAAAUUUUAGACAGGUAUAGGAUAUACAUUAUAUACUGAUUGCAACAAGUUAACGUAUAGUUGUAUGUAAACUAUUUUUACGGUUUCAUUAUUAUUUAUAUGCGAAUAUCAAUUUACAUUCGUGGUGAAUUUUUUGUAUUUACUAACAUAAUUAGCUUUAUGACAGCAUUCACAUAAUGACUGUAAAAUUAUCUUACUUUUU